rnacentral:rRNA from 1 species
GCGUGAGUGAUGAAGGCCUUCGGGUUGUAAAGCGUCUUUCGACCGGGACGAUAAUGACGGUACCGGAAGAAGAAGCCCCGGCUAACUUCGUGCCAGCAGCCGCGGUAAUACGUAGGGGGCAAGCGUUGUUCGGAAUUACUGGGCGUAAAGAGUGUGUAGGCGGUGCUCUAAGUUUGGUGUGAAAUCUCCGGGCUUAACUCGGAGGGUGCGCCCGAAACUGGAGUGCUCGAGUGUGGGAGAGGAGAGUGGAAUUCCCGGUGUAGCGGUGAAAUGCGUAGAUAUCAGGAGGAACACCUGUGGUGAAAGCGGCUUUCUGGACCAUUACUGACGCUGAGACACGAAAGCGUGGGUAGCAAACAGGAUUAGAUACCCUGGUAGUCCACGCCCUAAACGAUGCAUGCUUGGUGU